rnacentral:lncRNA from 1 species
GCUAUUGGAAAAAUAAUUUAUGCAAAAUUAAUUUUGAGCAAAAAUUUAAGAGUGUUUGGCUAAGUUUAGUAAGAUAGUGAUUUUUAUGUAGUGAUUUUGUAAAACUAUUAAACAAAAUUUUUUUAGUGUUUGUAAUAUAAUUGUAGUGUUCCUGGGGUUUAGCUGACGAAAUAACUACAGUAUCAGCGACUAGUCAACACUUCUGUGAAGUGUCGGGACGAGUCGAAGUCGUUUUGCCACAAAAUGAAUGCGAAAAUAGACUAGGCGCACUCAAAUAAGUCAAAACUGAAGUUCUGACAGUUUAGGAAGCCCAAAAAUGAUUUAGGACGCCCAGAUCCUGAGUGUUGUUUUGUAUUAGAUACUAAAGUCAUUUCGGACCCUGUUUAGGGCGCCCGGAAGUUGGGUCCUAAAGUUUACUUCGUGAAUAUCAAUCGUGUUGACACGUGGGUGCGGUAGGUGUGAUCCGCCGGAACAGGAUAGCGGUGUAGCGGACCGUCGGACGGAGGAACCAAGGUGCUGUUUGUGCAGGCUGGAAGUUCUGGGCGCCCGAUUUUGGGUUCU